GACGAACGCUGGCGGCGUGCCUAAUACAUGCAAGUAGAACGCUGAAGAGAGGAGCUUGCUCUUCUUGGAUGAGUUGCGAACGGGUGAGUAACGCGUAGGUAACCUGCCUGGUAGCGGGGGAUAACUAUUGGAAACGAUAGCUAAUACCGCAUAAAAUGGAUUAUCGCAUGAUAAUCCAUUGAAAGGUGCAAAUGCAUCACUACCAGAUGGACCUGCGUUGUAUUAGCUAGUUGGUGGGGUAACGGCUCACCAAGGCGACGAUACAUAGCCGACCUGAGAGGGUGAUCGGCCACACUGGGACUGAGACACGGCCCAGACUCCUACGGGAGGCAGCAGUAGGGAAUCUUCGGCAAUGGACGGAAGUCUGACCGAGCAACGCCGCGUGAGUGAAGAAGGUUUUCGGAUCGUAAAGCUCUGUUGUAAGAGAAGAACGAGUGUGAGAGUGGAAAGUUCACACCGUGACGGUAUCUUACCAGAAAGGGACGGCUAACUACGUG
rnacentral:rRNA from 1 species